AUUGAACGCUGGCGGCAUGCCUUACACAUGCAAGUCGAACGGCAGCACGGGAGCAAUCCUGGUGGCGAGUGGCGAACGGGUGAGUAAUAUAUCGGAACGUGCCCAGUAGUGGGGGGAUAACUGCUCGAAAGAGCAGCUAAUACCGCAUACGACCUGAGGGUGAAAGGGGGGGAUCGCAAGACCUCUCGCUAUUGGAGCGGCCGAUAUCAGAUUAGCUAGUUGGUGGGGUAAAGGCCUACCAAGGCAACGAUCUGUAGUUGGUCUGAGAGGACGACCAGCCACACUGGGACUGAGACACGGCCCCAGACUCCUACGGGAGGCAGCAGUGGGAAUUUUGGACAAUGGGCGCAAGCCUGAUCCAGCAAUGCCGCGUGC
rnacentral:rRNA from 1 species